rnacentral:rRNA from 1 species
GAUGAACGCUGGCGGCGUGCUUAACACAUGCAAGUCGAACGGAAAGGCCCAAGCUUCCUUGGGUACUCGAGUGGCGAACGGGUGAGUAACACGUGGGUCAUCUUCCCUGCACUUCGGGAUAACCCUGGGAAACUGGUUCUAAUACCUGAUAGGACCACUUCUUGGAUGUUGUGGUGGAAAGUUUUUUCUGUGUGGGGUGAGCUCGCGGCCUAUCCGCUUGUUGGGGGGGUAAUGGGCUACCAAGGCGUCUCCGGGUCGACGGACUGAGGGAGUGUAAGGCCACAUUGGGACUGAGGUAAGGCACAGGCUCCGACGAGAGGAAGAAGGGGGGAAGAUUGAACAAGGGGCGCAGGGCUGAUGCAGAGACGCCGCGUGGGGGAUGACGGCCUUAGGGUUGAAAACGCCUUGCGCGAGGGACGAAGCGUUUUGUGACGGUACCUGGAGAAGAAGCACCGGCUAACUACGUG